ACGUGGCGGAGCUAAACACUGCAGUUUAGCGAAACUUCGGGUUUAGCGGCGGACGGGUGAGUAACGCGUGGGAACGUGCCCUUCUCUGCGGAAUAGCCACUGGAAACGGUGAGUAAUACCGCAUACGCCCUUCGGGGGAAAGAUUAUCGGGGAAGGAUCGGCCCGCGUCUGAUUAGGUAGUUGGUGGGGUAACGGCCUACCAAGCCUACGAUCUAUAGCUGGUUUUAGAGGAUGAUCAGCAACACUGGGACUGAGACACGGCCCAGACUCCUACGGGAGGCAGCAGUGGGGAAUCUUAGACAAUGGGGGCAACCCUGAUCUAGCCAUGCCGCGUGAGUGAUGAAGGCCUUAGGGUCGUAAAGCUCUUUCGCCUGUGAUGAUAAUGACGGUAGCAGGUAAAGAAACCCCGGCUAACUCCGUGCCAGCAGCCGCGGUAAUACGGAGGGGGUUACCGUUGUUCGCAAUUACUGCGCGUACAGCGCGCGUAGGCGGAUUAGAAAGUUGGGGGUGAAAUCCCGGGGCUCAAACCCGGAA
rnacentral:rRNA from 1 species